UGAGGAAUUUUGCGCAAUGGGCGAAAGCCUGACGCAGCGACGCCGCGUGGGGGAAGAAGGCCUUCGGGUUGUAAACCCCUUUCGUGAGGAAAAAAGUCCCCCGAGAAAUCGGGGGAUGAUGGUACCUCAGGAAGAAGCCACGGCUAACUCUGUGCCAGCAGCCGCGGUAAGACAGAGGUGGCAAGCGUUGUUCGGAUUUACUGGGCUUAAAGCGCGUGUAGGCGUCCUUAUAAGUCAGAUGUGGAAGCCUUGGGCUCAACCCGAGAAUUGCAUUUGAAACUAUAAGGAUUGAGUCGUGUACGGGAGGGUGGAAUUCCUGGUGUAGCGGUGAAAUGCGUAGAUAUCAGGAGGAAGGCCAGUGGCGAAGGUGGCCCUCUAUGCAAUGACUGACGCUGAGGCG
rnacentral:rRNA from 1 species